rnacentral:lncRNA from 1 species
UAAGUGAUGACAAAGAUCAGAUCAGAGAAAUAACAGAUGAGAUUAGAUCAAUAUAGAACUUCAAGAGAAAACAGAACGAGGGAUCAUGAGAAGAAAAGCCGGAGAUUCAUCAAGCUCAUCCCCUGGAUUCAUCGGCGUGGAAAUUGACGCGACUCUGACACAAUACAGGUAACAUCACAACCCGGCUGUGACAAUCAGAUAGCUAGCAGUAUUGACAAACCUCAAGAGAUAAGUCUCGUACAUUAUCACCAUUCCGUCGAUAGUAAACACUGAUAGCGGGCCCCUUGAAUGGUUCAUUAUGGCAGACACUGAUGGUAUCAUGGUGCUUGUAAUGUAAUGAUCAUUGCUAAUUAAAUUGGAUGUCCCUGGCUCAGACAAACCCUCUUUUUCUGCCUACAGACGCCCGCCGAUAUCUCCACCGUGAAUCUCUCCGUGAGAACGGCGAGAUAAAGCCUGCCGCAUGUCAUUAACGGCGUGCGAUGCGGAUCUAGAGGGAUUAAGCGGCACUGUUUCUGUCUUCCUCAGGAAGCGUCGAGUAUCACCUGGUAUGAUAAGAUUCACGGUCUGCGAUUCUAAUGAGAAGUGGGUGGCUUGUUUUGUACAUUAAUGGUUUCACAGGUGUGAGGCACACACUUUAGAAAUCUUAGUUCACUUCUCAUCUAUGAUACACAUCUUCACCUAUUUUGUCACAGCACUGAUGCGUCUUAGCCAUCAUUUUGUCUCUCUCCUUUGAUGUGGAAAGACCUGAAUCAACAUCUUCUCAAGCAACAGCUGCAACUCUUUAACAAGGUGUGUUGACCUAAAACUUUCUAGAUUUGGAUGCUACUGAGAAAUAGACAAAGGGGGAAGACAUAGACCACUGCACUUUCUCUUCCAACUAGCGCAGGGACGGCACAAAAUUGACAGAUCAAAGAUCAAAGCAUUUUGAAGGCUCUUCCUUGAUAUCCAAAGAGACCAAGUGCUUUUAUUCUGAUCCAUUGUCAUAGAUCCAUCUUCUCAUCCAUCAAGAACAACCCCAAGAAAAACAUCUCCUACUCUUCAGCCACCAUUUUGCUUUGAGAUGAGACUGCGUUACCUUUAGGAUCAGACAGAGUUACAGAGGAGAGUGACAAAACUCGCACGAGAUAGAAACCAUUUUGGAGUGAAAAGGAACGUUUGAGUGUUGCUUUCUGCCAGGAAUGUAGCUUAGAGGUAAGAAAUAACACCAUUAGAGAGCUAAAAAGAAUUCAUACCUUUUUCUUGAAUACCCCCAUAUACUCUGCUUAAUUCUCUACUAUUUGGUUGAGGUGAAUUGAAUAUGGCUAUGGCGCCAGCCGUGUUUGUCGUGUUUGAACAGGCAGACAAAACACCGAUUUGGAUCCUUUUGGUAGGGUAGGGCUUUCUUCACCUUUUCCUCACCCUUUGGUUGUAAUCCUUCUUGUUCUGAUUCAUAGAAAUUAUGGGUGGCUGAGAGAGAGAGUAACUUUUCUUUGCAUUUUCUCCCUUCAGUCAUCUUUCUUUCUUUGAUUAUUGCUCUCGUUCUUUCUAUCUUGUCUUCCUGCUUAGCUCUUAUAUCAAUCCAUUUCACACUUUUUGUAUAUAAUCGUCACCUUUUUCUCAUACUUUUAUUUCUAAUUUCCUUAUUAUUCCCCUCUCUCCCCUGUUAAUCCCUCUCUUGCUUGAUACCGUAACUUUCCUG